AUUCCCUAGUACGGCGAGUGAAGAGGGAAAAGCCCAAAUUUGUAAUCUGGCUCUUUUACAGGAGUCCGAGUUGUAAUUUUGAGAACUGUUUUCUGUGCUGGACCAUGUACAAGUCUGUUGGAAAACAGCAUCAUUGAGGGUGAUAAUCCCGUAGAUGACAUGGACUACCAGUGCAAUACGAUACAGUCUCUAAGAGUCGAGUUGUUUGGGAAUGCAGCUCAAAGUGGGUGGUAAAUUCCAUCUAAGGCUAAAUAUAGGUGAGAGACCGAUAGCAAACAAGUACCGUGAGGGAAAGAUGAAAAGAACUUUGGAAAGAGAGUUAACAGUACGUGAAAUUGUUAAAAGGGAAACAUUUGAAGUUAGACUUGUUAUUAUUGGUUCAGCUUCUCUUUUUUAAUUAGGAGUUUAUUCCAAUGGUUGACAGACCAGCAUCAAUUUUUGAGUGUUAGAUAAGGGUCUUGGAGAAUGUGGCAACUUUGGUUGUGUUAUAGCUCCUGGCUUGAUAUAAUGCUUAAGAUUGAGGAACGCAGUGAGCUUUAAAUUUUUUGAAGUGGAUUCUUUUGAAUCUUCAUCACUACGGAUGUUGGUGUAAUA
rnacentral:rRNA from 1 species